rnacentral:ncRNA from 1 species
AAACCCUGAAAGGAAAGAAGUUCCGCGGAGGAAAAAGAAAACUGCGGAACGAACUGGCAAGUGCUAGCACUUGCCUGACGAAGAAGGUAAAAUCCACUGAGGGGUAUUGGGUGCAAAUACACCUUGGGAAGGAUGAGACAUUCCACAAGCCAGGAGACUUACCUAAUGUUUGACAUAAAA